rnacentral:rRNA from 1 species
AUUGAACGCUGGCGGCAUGCCUUACACAUGCAAGUCGAACGGCAGCGCGGGCUUCGGCCUGGCGGCGAGUGGCGAACGGGUGAGUAACAUAUCGGAACGUGCCCAAGAGUGGGGGAUAACCAGUCGAAAGACUGGCUAAUACCGCAUACGAUCUAAGGAUGAAAGUGGGGGAUCGCAAGACCUCAUGCUCCUGGAGCGGCCGGUAUCUGAUUAGCUAGUUGGUGGGGUAAAGGCCUACCAAGGCGACGAUCAGUAGCUGGUCUGAGAGGACGACCAGCCACACUGGGACGGAGACCCGGCCCAGACUCCUACGGGAGGCAGCAGGGGGGAAUUUUGGACAAUGGGGGCAACCCUGAUCCAGCAAUGCCGCGUGUGUGAAGAAGGCCUUCGGGUUGUAAAGCACUUUUGUUCGGGAAGAAAUCCCUUGGGCUAAUAUCCCGGGGGGAUGACGGUACCGGAAGAAUCAGCACCGGCUAACUACGUGCCAGCAGCCGCCGUAACAC